rnacentral:rRNA from 1 species
GAUGAACGCUGGCGGCGUGCCUAAUACAUGCAAGUCGAGCGAACGGACGAGAAGCUUGCUUUUCUGAUGUUAGCGGCGGACGGGUGAGUAACACGUGGAUAACCUACCUAUAAGACUGGGAUAACUUCGGGAAACCGGAGCUAAUACCGGAUAAUAUUUUGAACCGCAUGGUUCAAAAGUGAAAGACGGUCUUGCUGUCACUUAUAGAUGGAUCCGCGCUGCAUUAGCUAGUUGGUAAGGUAACGGCUUACCAAGGCAACGAUGCAUAGCCGACCUGAGAGGGUGAUCGGCCACACUGGAACUGAGACACGGUCCAGACUCCUACGGGAGGCAGCAGUAGGGAAUCUUCCGCAAUGGGCGAAAGCCUGACGGAGCAACGCCGCGUGAGUGAUGAAGGUCUUCGGAUCGUAAAACUCUGUUAUUAGGGAAGAACAUAUGUGUAAGUAACUGUGCACAUCUUGACGGUACCUAAUCAGAAAGCCACGGCUAACUACGUGCCAGCAGCCGCGGUAAUACGUAGGUGGCAAGCGUUAUCCGGAAUUAUUGGGCGUAAAGCGCGCGUAGGCGGUUUUUUAAGUCUGAUGUGAAAGCCCACGGCUCAACCGUGGAGGGUCAUUGGAAACUGGAAAACUUGAGUGCAGAAGAGGAAAGUGGAAUUCCAUGUGUAGCGGUGAAAUGCGCAGAGAUGUGGAGGAACACCAGUGGCGAAGGCGACUUUCUGGUCUGUAACUGACGCUGAUGUGCGAAAGCGUGGGGAUCAAACAGGAUUAGAUACCCUGGUAGUCCACGCCGUAAACGAUGAGUGCUAAGUGUUAGGGGGUUUCCGCCCCUUAGUGCUGCAGCUAACGCAUUAAGCACUCCGCCUGGGGAGUACGACCGCAAGGUUGAAACUCAAAGGAAUUGACGGGGGCCCGCACAAGCGGUGGAGCAUGUGGUUUAAUUCGAAGCAACGCGAAGAACCUUACCAAAUCUUGACAUCCUUUGACAACUCUAGAGAUAGAGCCUUCCCCUUCGGGGGACAAAGUGACAGGUGGUGCAUGGUUGUCGUCAGCUCGUGUCGUGAGAUGUUGGGUUAAGUCCCGCAACGAGCGCAACCCUUAAGCUUAGUUGCCAUCAUUAAGUUGGGCACUCUAAGUUGACUGCCGGUGACAAACCAGAGGAAGGUGGGGAUGACGUCAAAUCAUCAUGCCCCUUAUGAUUUGGGCUACACACGUGCUACAAUGGACAAUACAAAGGGCAGCGAAACCGCGAGGUCAAGCAAAUCCCAUAAAGUUGUUCUCAGUUCGGAUUGUAGUCUGCAACUCGACUACAUGAAGCUGGAAUCGCUAGUAAUCGUAGAUCAGCAUGCUACGGUGAAUACGUUCCCGGGUCU